UGCAUCGGCCGGGAAUCGAACCCAGGCCGCCCGCGUGGCAGGCAAGCAUUCUACCACUGAACCACCGAUGG
rnacentral:tRNA from 1 species